GACGAACGCUGGCGGCGUGCCUAAUACAUGCAAGUCGAGCGAAGGUUUUCUGGUGCUUGCACUAGAAAAACUUAGCGGCGAACGGGUGAGUAACACGUAAAGAACCUGCCUCAUAGACUGGGACAACUAUUGGAAACGAUAUCUAAUACCGGAUAACAGUAUUUCUCGCAUGAGAGAUAUUUAAAAGUUGGUUAUGCUAACACUAUGAGAUGGCUUUGCGGUGCAUUAGCUAGUUGGUGGGGUAAAGGCCCACCAAGGCGACGAUGCAUAGCCGACCUGAGAGGGUGAUCGGCCACACUGGGACUGAGACACGGCCCAGACUCCUACGGGAGGCAGCAGUAGGGAAUCUUCCGCAAUGGGCGAAAGCCUGACGGAGCAACGCCGCGUGAGUGAAGAAGGAUUUCGGUUCGUAAAGCUCUGUUGUUAGGGAAGAAUGGAUAUGUAGUAACUAUACAUGUAAGAGACGGUACCUAACCAGAAAGCCACGGCUAACUACGUG
rnacentral:rRNA from 1 species